rnacentral:rRNA from 2 species
UUUACCCGGNNGGNACUAAGCAUAUCAAUAAGCGGAGGAAAAGAAACCAACAGGGAUUGCCUCAGUAACGGCGAGUGAAGCGGCAACAGCUCAAAUUUGAAAUCUGGCCCCCCGGCCCGAGUUGUAAUUUGCAGAGGAUGCUUCGGGCGCGGUGCCUUCCAAGUCCCCUGGAACGGGGCGCCGGAGAGGGUGAGAGCCCCGUACGGUUGGCGGCCAAGCCUGUGUGAAGCUCCUUCGACGAGUCGAGUAGUUUGGGAAUGCUGCUCUAAGCGGGAGGUAGACCCCUUCUAAAGCUAAAUAUAGGCCAGAGACCGAUAGCGCACAAGUAGAGUGAUCGAAAGAUGAAAAGCACUUUGAAAAGAGGGUUAAACAGCACGUGAAAUUGUUGAAAGGGAAGCGCUUGCGACCAGACGUGCGCCGGGGUGCUCAGCGGGCGUUCUCGCCCGUGCACUCGCCCCGGUGCAGGCCAGCGUCGGUUCGCGUGGGAGGAUAAAGGCGCCUGGAAUGUGGCUCCCCCGGGAGUGUUAUAGCCAGGCGUGCCAUGCUCCCCUGCGGACCGAGGUACGCGUUCUGCAAGGACGCGGCGUAAUGGUCCCCAGCGACCCGUCUGAAACACGACCANNCU